GGGCCCGUAGCUCAGCGGUUAGAGCAGGGGACUCAUAAUCCCUUGGCCGGGGGUUCGAAUCCCUCCGGGCCUA
rnacentral:tRNA from 1 species